UAUUGGACAAUGGGCGAAAGCCUGAUCCAGCGACGCCGCGUGAGUGAUGAAGGCCUUCGGGUCGUAAGCCCUGUCGAGGGGGACGAAUCGGUUGCGACCUAACACGUCGUGAUCCUGACGGUACCCCUAAAGGAAGCACCGGCUAACUCCGUGCCAGGAGCCGCGGUAAUACGGAGGGGGCUAGCGUUGUUCGGAAUUACUGGGCGUAAAGCGCGCGUAGGCGGCUUUGUAAGUUAGAGGUGAAAGCCCAGGGCUCAACCCUGGAAUUGCCUUUAAGACUGCAUCGCUAGAAUUGUGGAGAGGUGAGUGGAAUUCCGAGUGUAGAGGUGAAAUUCGUAGAUAUUCGGAAGAACACCAGUGGCGAAGGCGACUCACUGGACACGUAUUGACGCUGAGGUGCGAAAGCGUGGGGAGCAAAC
rnacentral:rRNA from 1 species